UAUUGCAUGUAUUUGAUUGAUCUUUCACUUUAUAAAGUUGGUUUGAUGAUUGCCGUCUUUUUUCUUCAGAUUGUUGUUCAGAGAGGCAGUUCGAGGGGUAUACAUUUUAGAGGUGCAGGGCCUAGAGAAAAGGAAUCAAUACUGUUAUCCGCGAGAUAGUAUGUGGCUUAAAAUAUAUGUAAGAAGUCGAUGAUGUGCUUGGGAUUCAGGUUGGCUAAUGUGGAAGCACUUUUAAGGUCAUAAACAUAGUCCUGUAAGUUUAUUUGUUUUUGAACACUAGAGUAAAGGCCAAAGUCAUAUAUGCAUUCUUAUGCCCUAUUAUACCUUAUUAAUCAAUUUAUUUAUUUAUUUAUUCUGAAAA